UUACGGGUGGCUCCAGUGGGGAAUAUUGGACAAUGGGCGCAAGCCUGAUCCAGCAAUGCCGCGUGAGUGAAGACUGCCUUAGGGUUGUAAAACUCUUUCGCUAGGGAAGAUAAUGACUGUACCUAGUAUAGAAGUCCCGGCUAACUCCGUGCCAGCAGCCGCGGUAAUACGGAGGGGACUAGCGUUGUUCGGAAUUACUGGGCGUAAAGAGUUCGUAGGCGGACUGACAAGUUAGAGGUGAAAUCCCAGGGCUCAACCCUGGAACUGCCUUUAAAACUGUCAGUCUAGAGACCGGAAGAGGUUAGGGGAAUACCUAGUGUAGAGGUGAAAUUCGUAGAUAUUAGGUGGAACACCAGUGGCGAAGGCGCCUAACUGGUCCGGUACUGACGCUGAGGAACGAAAGCGUGGGGAGCAAACAGGAUUAGAUACCCCAGUAGUC
rnacentral:rRNA from 1 species